rnacentral:lncRNA from 1 species
UAGCCAUUAUCUCUCUCCCCCUAUCUACAUUGUUAUGACUUUGAAUUUUGCAAUAAAAAAUCAUGUUUUCUACAAUUUCAUUCUCCACAUUUAUCUUCGAAAGAUGAGGUGCUAAUUGUUAUUAAUGGUUUUUCCACAUCUUUUUAAAUACGUUGUUAUGUAUGAAUUCUUUUAGUCCAGGACUCGUUCAAGAGAAUCCAUGAUAUAUUUUAAGGCACACCUGCACGUAUUAGUUAGCCUUCACGUUAUUUUGUAGAGCUAGCUAGAAUUAUCAUUUAUCAUAGUGUGAUAUUCUUAUUUUAUGUUGGUAAGAGAAUUUAUGCAUAACUUUAUGUUUUAUUUGAAUGUAGAGUAGCAAGCUUCUCAUUGAGUAUAAUUCAUUAUUCUUACCCCUCUUUAUUUACAAAUUUCAGGUAAAAAAAUUAGCAUGUUGGACGGCGGAGGAUGAAUAUGCUAUUGGACCAAUGGAUCCUCGUCAUGAAGUACUUUAAUAUUUAGGAACAUUAGAAUUUUUAAUAGCAUUUGAUUAUUAUAUUUAGAUUUAUACUCAAUUAUGAGUAACAUUAUUAUUCCAGUUAGUCCCAUUUCAAUACCGUGUUAAACGCUAGUUUUUAUCAAUAUAUUGAUGCAUGAUAUGAU